rnacentral:rRNA from 1 species
UACGUAGGGUGCAAGCGUUAAUCGGAAUUAUUGGGCGUAAAGAGCUCGUAGGCGGUUUGUCGCGUCUGCUGUGAAAGCCCGGGGCUCAACCCCGGGUCUGCAGUGGGUACGGGCAGACUAGAGUGCAGUAGGGGAGACUGGAAUUCCUGGUGUAGCGGUGAAAUGCGCAGAUAUCAGGAGGAACACCGAUGGCGAAGGCAGGUCUCUGGGCUGUUACUGACGCUGAGGAGCGAAAGCAUGGGGAGCGAACAGG